AUUGAACGCUGGCGGCAUGCCUUACACAUGCAAGUCGAACGGUAACAGGUCUUCGGAUGCUGACGAGUGGCGAACGGGUGAGUAAUACAUCGGAACGUGCACGAUCGUGGGGGAUAACGGAGCGAAAGCUUUGCUAAUACCGCAUACGAUCUACGGAUGAAAGCAGGGGACCGCAAGGCCUUGCGCGGACGGAGCGGCCGGUGGCAGAUGAGGUAGUGGGUGGGAUAAAAGCUUACCAAGCCGAGGAUCUGUAGCGGGUCUGAGAGGACGACAAGCCACACUGGGACUGAGACACGGCCCAGACUCCUACGGGAGGCAGCAGUGGGGAAUUUUGGACAAUGGGCGAAAGCCUGAUCCAGCCAUGCCGCGUGCAGGAUGAAGGCCUUCGGGUUGUAAACUGCUUUUGUACGGAACGAAAAGACUCCUUCUAAUAAAGGGGGUCCAUGACGAUACCGUAAGAAUAAGCACUGGCUAACUACGUGCCAGCCGCCGCCGUAAGAC
rnacentral:rRNA from 1 species